rnacentral:lncRNA from 1 species
UCUGCUGUGGUCUGUUCUCUAGCGUUGGUAUUUAAUGCUGUGGUUUGUAAAUGACUCUCAUGCACAGGUUCAGUUAAAUGUGUUCCAGUCACAUUUAUGGCUUCAUCAUGAUUCAACAGCUGCUGCUAAUCGUCCUCAUCCAUUUUUACAGAGGCAAAGCACGAGCUGUUCCUCCGCCUGAGCUGACUGUGACUCCAGUGGAGAUCGCAGAGACAGACGCAGUCACUCUGAACUGUCAGACUUCGUCGUCUGUGUCUCAGUGUUUUUUCUUCAUUGUGAGUGGACGAACCGUCAGAACCUUCUCCUGCCUGUGGACACUGACAGGGACCGAGCUCCUGCACAUGGCACAACUGAUGUCACCUGCUAAGGUUGAAGUUCAGUGUUAUUAUACCUUUAAUGGAAGAAAUUCUCCGCUCAGUGAUCCGUCCUCCAUCACUAUACAAAGUAGACGUCCAUUAACAAACGUUAUUGGUAAAGUAAUAUUACAAUGUUAGGCAUUAAUUUGCAUUUGGACAAACCAGCGACAGCCUCCACUCACAUUUAAUGGUCACAUUAAAAGUUUGAAUUUAAGAAGGUGAAGAGAUGACAGACAUGAAGUGUCUGUCAUCUCAUCUUCUAAUGCAAAUACUGACACAGAGUCAAGUGUGAUAACGACUUCUCCAAAAACCCCUGUGACCACAGGUAGGACAAGCUGAUCAGAACCAGAGAAACCAGAACAUAUGAAUAAGAAAACCUUUAAUAGUCCCGCAGUGGGGAAAUUACUUCUCACAACAGCAGUACAGAUGAGCGAGAAUACAGGUACAGAACAGUUUGUGUUGGCAGUGACAUUGUCACUGAUACGUCAGUCUGACAGUUUUCAAACCUCCAGGUCUGACGCUCAAACCCGCUCGUACUUCUGCUCCUGAAGCUCAUUUAGAGCCAACAUCUGUUACAAACGAGAGUCAAACUGGACUGAACGGUAUUCUAAAACACACUCGCUAUGAGUGGGAAACAGGCUACAAUGGGCUUCAAACUGAAGUGGGAGAGAAGACCCAAAUGCAACGACCCACAGACAGGACUGACGAUAAAUGGUUUAAUAAUAAAAACAUACAAAAAGGACA